UAAAGCUCCGGCGCCUAAGGAUGGGUCUGCGGCCUAUCAGGUAGUAGUGGGUGUAGCGUACCUACUAGCCUACGACGGGUACGGGUUGUGAGAGCAAGAGCCCGGAGAUGGAUUCUGAGACACGAAUCCAGGCCCUAACGGGGUGCAGCAGGCGCGAAAACUUUACAAUGCUGACAACAGCGAUAAGGGAACCUCGAGUGCCAGGUUACAAAUCUGGCUGUCGAGAUGCCUAAAAAGCAUUUCAUAGCAAGGGCCGGGCAAGACCGGUGCCAGCCGCCGCGGUAACACCGGCGGCUCGAGUGGUAACCGUUAUUAUUGGGUCUAAAGGGUCUGUAGCCGGCCGGAUAAGUCUCUUGAGAAAUCUGGCAGCUUAACUGUCAGGCUUUCAGGAGAUACUGUCUGGCUCGAGGCCGGGAGAGGUGAGAGGUACUUCAGGGGUAGGGGUGAAAUCUUGUAAUCCUUGAAGGACCACCAGUGGCGAAGGCGUCUCACCAGAACGGACCUGACGGCAAGGGACGAAAGCUAGGGGCACGAACCGGAUUAGAUACCCGGGUAGUCCUAGCCGUAAACGAUACUCGCUAGGUGUCGGCCACGGUGCGACCGUUGUCGGUGCCGUAGGGAAGCCGUGAAGCGAGC
rnacentral:rRNA from 1 species